UUUUCAGGUCAAACAUCUGAUGAGAGCAUUGCAGCCUCUCGGUCACGACGCACACGUAAAGACAAACAUGGCAGACUGGCUGCUUUAGAAAGAUUGCGAGGUUUGAAAGGCACAAAACACAAAUAUGAGGUCAAUGAUGUGGUGAAUGUAUACGAAGAGGUAGAUGAACGCGAGUACUCCAAACGUCGUCAAGAUCGACUAGAGGAUGACUGGAUUAUUGAUGAUGACGGUUCAGGAUAUGUUGAAGAUGGCCGUGAAAUUUUUGAUGAGGAGGAUGCCGACGGGGAUGCUAUUUUCCUUUCUAAAGGCAAAGAUAAAAAAGGGUCUAAGAAAAAAGGUGGAAGCAAGUCCUUAGAAAGCUCAGCAGUGAGACAUGGUG